GACGAACCGUGCGAACGUUGUUCGGAAUCACUGGGCUUAAAGGGCGCGUAGGCGGGCAGGCAAGUCAGGGGUGAAAGCCCACGGCUCAACCGUGGAAGUGCCUUUGAUACUGCUUGUCUUGAGGGAGGUAGGGGCGUGCGGAACUUCCGGUGGAGCGGUGAAAUGCGUAGAUAUCGGAAGGAACACCGGUGGCGAAAGCGGCGCGCUGGACCUCUACUGACGCUGAGGCGCGAAAGCCAGGGGAGCAAAGCGGG
rnacentral:rRNA from 1 species